GACGAACGCUGGCGGCGUGCCUAAUACAUGCAAGUCGAGCGAAGUUUUUCUGGUGCUUGCACUAGAAAAACUUAGCGGCGAACGGGUGAGUAACACGUAAAGAACCUGCCUCAUAGACUGGGACAACUAUUGGAAACGAUAGCUAAUACCGGAUAACAGUAUUUCUCGCAUGGGAGAUAUUUAAAAGUUGGUUAUGCUAACACUAUGAGAUGGCUUUGCGGUGCAUUAGCUAGUUGGUGGGGUAAAGGCCCACCAAGGCGACGAUGCAUAGCCGACCUGAGAGGGUGAUCGGCCACACUGGGACUGGGACACGGCCCAGACUCCUACGGGAGGCAGCAGUAGGGAAUCUUCCGCAAUGGGCGAAAGCCUGACGGAGCAACGCCGCGUGAGUGAAGAAGGAUUUCGGUUCGUAAAGCUCUGUUGUUAGGGAAGAAUGGAUAUGUAGUAACUAUACAUGUAAGAGACGGUACCUAACCAGAAAGCCACGGCUAACUACGUG
rnacentral:rRNA from 1 species